rnacentral:rRNA from 1 species
AUUGAACGCUGGCGGCAUGCCUAACACAUGCAAGUCGAACGGCAACGGGAUCUAGCUUGCUAGAUGGACGGCGAGUGGCGAACGGGUGAGUAACGCGUAGGAAUAUACCUUAAAGAGGGGGAUAACCUGGGGAAACUCAGGCUAAUACCGCGUAUGCUCUGAGGAGUAAAGCUAGGGACCUUCGGGCCUGGCGCUUUAAGAAUAGCCUGCGUCCGAUUAGCUAGUUGGUGGGGUAAAGGCUCACCAAGGCGACGAUCGGUAGCUGGUCUGAGAGGAUGAACAGCCACACUAGGACUGAGACACGGCCCAGACUCCUACGGGAGGCAGCAGUGGGGAAUAUUGGACAAUGGGGGCAACCCUGAUCCAGCAAUGCCGCGUGUGUGAAGAAGGCCUGAGGGUUGUAAAGCACUUUCAGUGGGGAGGAGGAUUUGUAGGUUAAGAGCUGACAAAUUGGACGUUACCCACAGAAGAAGCACCGGCUAACUCCGUGCCAGCAGCCGCGGUAAUACGGAGGGUGCAAGCGUUAAUCGGAAUUACUGGGCGUAAAGGGUGCGUAGGUGGUUAAUUAAGUUAGAUGUAAAAACCCUGGGCUUAACCUGGGACUGAGAUUUAAUACUGGUUAACUUGAGUAUGGGAGAGG